CCCUGCCCGCAGGGCCAGAGCCCUGGCCUGUGAUCACGUUCCAGGGAGCAGGCGGGCUCCUGGGCCAGCUGCGGCGGAGUGCGGGCGCCUGUGAUCCGUGGCCAGGGAGCGCGCGCGCUGAGCGUCCGGGGGCCCCCGCUUGUGAUCGCGCGCCAGACCCAGCUCUGUGGCAGGAUCCCGCGCGCUCUGCUUCCCGCCCUGCCCAGGGUCCGACGCUCCAGCGGAAAGUGGCCGGGGACAGAAGGUUUUAUAACACACUAUGGAUAACCACACAGUGUUUUCAUGCGUCAAAAAGGUGUAACAGCAGAUGAGAAGGACUGUGAAGGCUAAAGGAGACAAUGCCAUUCAUGUUUGGGGCAAGAAGAGCAUCAGGCCAAAAUCACUCUGAACAUCACAGAUAUUGAUUCAUAAAAAAUAAGCUAAAUCUUUGUGAAAUCAGGAGAGCCUGAAUGGUAAAAUAUCAUCAAGGGCUGCCAUAUGCAACUGGAUCCAAUGGGACUCUGGCAAGGCAGAGAAUAUCUCUAUGAAGAGCAGGCCUUGACAGUCAUAGGGGAGUAAACUUCCCCAAUUAAUGGGAGGAACUCUAAGGUAUGUCAAUAAAGAAUCAUAUAGAAACAUCUUUGACUGACCUAUGUACAUGGGUGAGGUCCUGGGAGAAGAGAGAUUGCAAUUGCCCAAUUCUGUAAGCUAAGGAGAAAGAAAAGCAAAGCAUGCAUUCUCAACUUCACACACACACACACACACACACACACACACACACACCCUCUCUGGGUCAUAAAGUAUUUCUAUAUUAAGCACAGAAAAUUCCCAUUAGCCAGAAACAAAGCCCUAGCCACAACUAUCCUGCAACUAUCUGGUCUAGGAAGAGUUGGUUUUAUUCACAGGUGAGCAGUAGGAAUAAUAAUAAUAAGAAGAAGAAUUUGACAAGUAGUACAGGGUCUGAAAAUAUACAAAUAAGUAAGAAAAGGAAUAAGAUAAACACAUGACAGAUGUUAAUCACAUAAAAUUUAUGAAUAUGAUGCAUUCAAAGAAAAUGAAGCAGAAUGAUCAGGCUGUGCAUAACAGAGAUAUGGAAAAACAUGGCAGAGCAACAGAAGAUGCUGAAACAUGAGUUGACGGUGGUCAAAAGUGAAGCGGAAGAGAAAAGUGAAAAUAUCAAAGAAAUGGACUGGGUGUAGUGGCUUACACCUGCAAUCCCAGCAAUCUGGGAGGCUGAGAAGGGAAAAUUAUUUGAAGCCAGAAGUUUGAGGUCAGCCUGGCCAACACAAUGAAGCCUUGUCUCUACUAAAAAUAUAAGAAUUAGCUGGGCAUGGUGGUGCAUACUUGUAAUCCCAGCUACUUGGGAGGGUGAAGCAUGAGAAUUGCUUGAACCUGGGAGGUGGAGGGUGCAGUGAGCUGAGUGCACACCACUGUACUCCA